GUGGGGAAUUUUGGACAAUGGGGGCAACCCUGAUCCAGCCAUGCCGCGUGAGUGAAGAAGGCCUUCGGGUUGUAAAGCUCUUUCAGCCGGGAAGAAAUCGCACAGGCUAAUACCUUGUGUGGAUGACGGUACCGGAAUAAGAAGCACCGGCUAACUACGUGCCAGCAGCCGCGGUAAUACGUAGGGUGCGAGCGUUAAUCGGAAUUACUGGGCGUAAAGCGUGCGCAGGCGGUUUUGUAAGACAGGCGUGAAAUCCCCGGGCUCAACCUGGGAACUGCGCUUGUGACUGCAAGGCUAGAGUACGGCAGAGGGGGGUGGAAUUCCACGUGUAGCAGUGAAAUGCGUAGAGAUGUGGAGGAACACCAAUGGCGAAGGCAGCCCCCUGGGUCGAUACUGACGCUCAUGCACGAAAGCGUGGGUAGCAAACAGGAUUAGAAACCCUGGUAGUCC
rnacentral:rRNA from 1 species